UACGUAGGGGGCGAGCGUUGUCCGGAAUCAUUGGGCGUAAAGCGCGUAUAGGCGGCCGAACAAGUCCGAUGUGAAAGCUCGGGGCUCAACCCCGAGUCUGCAUUGGAAACUGUGCGGCUAGAGUCCGGAAGAGGAGACUGGAAUUCCUGGUGUAGCGGUGAAAUGCGCAGAUAUCAGGAAGAACACCGGUGGCGAAGGCGGGUCUCCGGGACGGUACUGACGCUGAGACGCGAAAGCGUGGGGAGCAAACAGG
rnacentral:rRNA from 1 species